rnacentral:rRNA from 1 species
AACUAUAACGGUCCUAAGGUAGCGAAAUUCCUUGUCAGGUAAGUUCUGACCCGCACGAAUGGCGUAAUGAUUUGGGCACUGUCUCAACAGCCCGCCCGGCGAAAUUGUAGUACUGGUGAAGAUGCCAGUUACCCGCAACUAGACGGAAAGACCCCAUGGAGCUUUACUGCAGCUUAAUACUGAAAUUCGGUAGUACAUGUACAGGAUAGGUGGGAGACUGAGAAAUACAGGCGUCAGCUUGUAUGGAGUCGCUGUUGGGAUACCACUCUUGUACUGCUGGGUUUCUAACCUGCGGCCGUGAAUCCGGUCGGGGGACACUGUUAGGCGGGCAGUUUGACUGGGGCGGUCGCCUCCCAAAAGGUAACGGAGGCGCUCAAAGGUUCGUUCAGCACGGACGGAAAUCGUGCAAUGAGUGUAAACGCAUAAACGAGCCUAACUGCGACACCGACGGGUCGAGCAGUAACGAAAGUUGGAGUUAGUGAUCCGGUGGUAUGUGAGUGGAAAUGCCAUCGCUCAACGGAUAAAAGCUACCCUGGGGAUAACAGGCUGAUCUCCCCCAAGCGUCCACAGCGACGGGGAGGUUUGGCACCUCGAUGUCGGCUCGUCGCAUCCUGGGGCUGAAUUCGGUCCCAAGGGUUUGGCUGUUCGCCAAUUAAAGCGGCACGCGAGCUGGGUUCAGAACGUCGUGAGACAGUUCGGUCCCUAUCUGUUGCGGGCGUAAGAGAUUUGAAGGGAGCUGUCCUUAGUACGAGAGGACCGGGAUGGACGUACCUCUGGUGCACCAGUUGUCCUGCCAAGGGCAUAGCUGGGUAGCUAUGUACGGACGAGAUAAACGCUGAAAGCAUCUAAGCGUGAAACUCCCCCUAAGAUGAGAUCUCUCAUCCUUUAAGGAGUAAGGACCCAGAAAGACGAUCUGGUUGAUAGGCCGAAGGUGGAAGCGCAGUAAUGUGUGGAGCUGAUCGGUACUAAUAGUCCGAGGGCUUGACCUA